rnacentral:rRNA from 1 species
GACGAACGCUGGCGGCGUGCCUAAUACAUGCAAGUAGAACGCACAGGAUGCACCGUAGUUUACUACACCGUAUUCUGUGAGUUGCGAACGGGUGAGUAACGCGUAGGUAACCUGCCUGGUAGCGGGGGAUAACUAUUGGAAACGAUAGCUAAUACCGCAUAAGAACAUUUACUGCAUGGUAGAUGUUUAAAAGGUGCAAAAGCAUCACUACCAGAUGGACCUGCGUUGUAUUAGCUAGUUGGUGAGGUAACGGCUCACCAAGGCAACGAUACAUAGCCGACCUGAGAGGGUGAUCGGCCACACUGGGACUGAGACACGGCCCAGACUCCUACGGGAGGCAGCAGUAGGGAAUCUUCGGCAAUGGGGGGAACCCUGACCGAGCAACGCCGCGUGAGUGAAGAAGGUUUUCUGGAUCGUAAAGCUCUGUUGUUAAGGAAGAACGUGUGUGAGAGUGGAAAGUUCACACAGUGACGGUACUUAACCAGAAAGGGACGGCUAACUACGUGCCAGCAGCCGCGGUAAUACGUAGGUCCCGAGCGUUGUCCGGAUUUAUUGGGCGUACAGCGUGCGCAGGCGGUUAGAUAAGUCUGAAGUGAAAGGCAGUGGCUCAACCAUUGUAGGCUUUGGAAACUGUUUAACUUGAGUGCAGAAGGGGAGAGUGGAAUUCCAUGUGUAGCGGUGAAAUGCGUAGAUAUAUGGAGGAACACCGGUGGCGAAAGCGGCUCUCUGGUCUGUAACUGACGCUGAGGCUCGAAAGCGUGGGGAGCGAACAGGAUUAGAUACCCUGGUAGUCCACGCCGUAAACGAUGAGUGCUAGGUGUUAGGUCCUUUCCGGGACUUAGUGCCGCAGCUAACGCAUUAAGCACUCCGCCUGGGGAGUACGACCGCAAGGUUGAAACUCAAAGGAAUUGACGGGGGCCCGCACAAGCGGUGGAGCAUGUGGUUUAAUUCGAAGCAACGCGAAGAACCUUACCAGGUCUUGACAUCCCUCUGACCACUCUAGAGAUAGAGUUUCCCUUCGGGGCAGAGGUGACAGGUGGUGCAUGGGUUGUCGUCAGCUCGUGUCGUGAGAUGUUGGGUUAAGU